rnacentral:lncRNA from 1 species
GCAACAAUGAAGACCAUGCCAGGUAGAGGCCAGAGGGGAACUCAGGAGCCCUGCCUCCUAGCCAUGGCCUAGCAACAGAGCCAGGCAGCAUCAGGGGCCCUGUUUGGGAGAGUGCAGGCCCAGCAUCUGCUCCUGAGGGACAGAAUGUCCCUCCCUGAAGCCGACCCAGGACUCCUGGCCCUGAGGAUGGUGCCAGAUCGGAAACAGGCCUGAAGGGUCUGCAGCACACAGCAGGGCAGUCCUUGGGGAAUCAGGUGCUGCCCGCAUUUCCUGCCACGUCAUGGAACCCAGGACAGGGGACCAGCAACGAAACAGAAUGAGAGGGCCUCUUUGGGCCCCCCUUCUGUAGGGGCUGGAAGGGGAGAAGCUGAAUGCCCAGAGGCUCAGGCCCUCCCCAAUGAGAUACAAGACCCAAGGGCAGGGCAGGGGUGAUUCACAGCCUCUGAUCUUUUUCCUCAGAGGACCUGCUCACUCCUGCAGGCUCCAUUUACUGCCUCUACCCAGUUCUCCGUGAGUACUCAGAAAAGAAUUGGGAUUGGAUUCUGGCGCUCAGGCUGGCAGGGUCAAGGAGCCCAGCAGCUCCUAGAAGCUCACAGUUGGCUCGGCUCUCAUCGAUAUUCCAGCAGGAGAGAUUAGCCUUCUAAUGCAGCAGAAUGGUUCAUGGUUAGACAUCUGGAAGAACUUUCCUGACAGGCAACACAUGGGAAUGGGGAGAGCUGUCCAGCUCUGACAUCCUGGAACAAG